rnacentral:rRNA from 1 species
GACGAACCGUGCGAACGUUGUUCGGAAUCACUGGGCUUAAAGGGCGCGUAGGCGGGCCCGUCGGUCCGCGGUGAAAUCCCCGGGCUCAACCCGGGGGCUGCGCCCGAAACGGCGGGCUGGAGGCAGGGAGAGGCUCGCGGAAUUCCCAGUGUAGAGGUGAAAUUCGUAGAUAUUGGGAAGAACACCGGUGGCGAAGGCGGCGAGCUGGCCCUGAACUGACGCUGAGGCGCGACAGCGUGGGGGAGCAAACAGG